rnacentral:rRNA from 1 species
UGGAGCAUGUGGUUUAAUUCGAAGCAACGCGAAGAACCUUACCUGGGUUUGACAUAUGGGUGGUAGGGAACCGAAGGGACCGACCUUCGGAGCCAUACAGUGCUGCAUGGCUGUCGUCAGCUCGUGCCGUGAGGUGUUCGGUUAAGUCCGGUAACGAGCGCAACCCUCGUCGUCAGUUACAAGUGUCUGACGAGACUGCCCGUGAUAAGCGGGAGGAAGGUGGGGAUGACGUCAAGUCAGCAUGGCCUUUAUAUCCAGGGCUACACACACGCUACAAUGGCCGGUACAAUGGGUCGCCAACCCGCGAGGGGGAGCCAAUCCAAUAAAGCCGGUCUCAGUUCGGAUUGCAGGCUGCAACCCGCCUGCAUGAAGUCGGAGUUGCUAGUAACCGCGCGUCAGCACAGUGCGGUCGAAUACGUUCCCGGGCCUU